rnacentral:lncRNA from 1 species
CCUAGGGUUCCUUUGUAGUUGGAUUCUCUUCCAAUAGCUUCCAAAUCAAUGGAGUGAUUCCCUCUUUCUCUCUCUAAAAUGCCCAACUAGUGAGAGAAAGUAUGAAAACAAGAUAUUUCAAGGUUUUUGAAGUGAGAAGAUGAAAUAGCACAAGGGUUUAUGGAAGGGUGCACCAAAAGCAUGAAAAUUGGAGCUAGAGAGAGAAAGUUGUGGAAGUUUGAAAAUCAAGCUUCCAUGGAGUUUGAAGAAACGUGAGAGAGGAG